GAUCUCAUUGGUAGAGCAUCUGUUUUGCAUGCAGAAGGUCCCAGGUUCAAUCCCUGCUACCUCCA